GGGAGCCCGAUGCGGGGCUCGAUCCCAGGACUCUGGUUUCCUGACCUGAGCCGAAGGCGGACGCUUCACGACCGAGCCACCCAGGCGCCCCACUUUCCUUCUAUGUUUUAGUGUCACAUCUGAGAUUGCUCAGCUCUCUUGAAUCCUUUCAUCUGUCCCCCUUCCACACUGCUACCUCCUCUACCCCUGUUUCCAUCCGUGCCCGGCCCUUCUCCCGAUUAUCUCCCGAUAAUCCCUGGAGCUUUGAGCCUCUCCCCCACCGUGGGCUCUUGAGGGGCUCAGAGACCCCACCAGCAACCAUCUGGGGUGAAACGGCCUGACUGGGAACAGGAAAUGAACCUCACCCACCAACUCUUUGUAUUUGUCACACCCGGAACUUCCUCGUUGAAGGCAAGAACGUUUCAAAGGCCCCAGCUUCUUCACCCCAAUUUUUCUCUUAAAGAAAUCUGUUAAAAAGUAUAGUAGGUUAGAAACAAUAACGUUACAUUUACUAUUACCGUUAGCCAUGCACCAGUGUAUCCUACAGCAGGGCUCUACCUCUUCUCCCUGCCAUACAACGCCUCUCUGGCAUUCAUUUUGUGACUGAAGAUCUGUACCCACAGCUCUGUGUUUCCUCUUCCCUGCCCCCACUGGAUCCCACAGUUCUUUCUGUUUCUAUAAAUUUGACUACUUUACAUACCCCGUACUAGGAGAAGCAUAGGGUAUUUGUCUUUCUGUGACUUGCUCAUUUCACUUGGCAGAACGUCCAGAAUAGCCUUCUUUGCUAAGACUGAAGAACAUUGCGUUGUAUGUCGAUGCCUCAGCUUCUUUCUCCAUUCCUCUCUGGGUGUGGACACGCGGGGCGCUUGGCUCUGGAGAACAACACUGCAACGAACGGGGAUGUGCAAGUGUCCUUGGGAACGUUGCUUCCAAUCCUUAUGGAUGUACAAUCAGGAGUGAGAUUGCUCCAUCACGUGAACGUCCAGAAUAGCCUUCUUUGCUAAGACUGAAGAACAUUGCGUUGUAUGUCGAUGCCUCAGCUUCUUUCUCCAUUCCUCUCUGGGUGUGGACACGCGGGGCGCUUGGCUCUGGAGAACAACACUGCAACGAACGGGGAUGUGCAAGUGUCCUUGGGAACGUUGCUUCCAAUCCUUAUGGAUGUACAAUCAGGAGUCAGAUUGCUCCAUCACGUGAACGUCCAGAAUAGCCUUCUUUGCUAAGACUGAAGAACAUUGCGUUGUAUGUCGAUGCCUCAGCUUCUUUCUCCAUUCCUCUCUGGGUGUGGACACGCGGGGCGCUUGGCUCUGGAGAACAACACUGCAACGAACGGGGAUGUGCAAGUGUCCUUGGGAACGUUGCUUCCAAUCCUUAUGGAUGUACAAUCAGGAGUCAGAUUGCUCCAUCACGUGAACGUCCAGAAUAGCCUUCUUUGCUAAGACUGAAGAACAUUGCGUUGUAUGUCGAUGCCUCAGCUUCUUUCUCCAUUCCUCUCUGGGUGUGGACACGCGGGGCGCUUGGCUCUGGAGAACAACACUGCAACGAACGGGGAUGUGCAAGUGUCCUUGGGAACGUUGCUUCCAAUCCUUAUGGAUGUACAAUCAGGAGUCAGAUUGCUCCAUCACGUGAACGUCCAGAAUAGCCUUCUUUGCUAAGACUGAAGAACAUUGCGUUGUAUGUCGAUGCCUCAGCUUCUUUCUCCAUUCCUCUCUGGGUGUGGACACGCGGGGCGCUUGGCUCUGGAGAACAACACUGCAACGAACGGGGAUGUGCAAGUGUCCUUGGGAACGUUGCUUCCAAUCCUUAUGGAUGUACAAUCAGGAGUCAGAUUGCUCCAUCACGUGAACGUCCAGAAUAGCCUUCUUUGCUAAGACUGAAGAACAUUGCGUUGUAUGUCGAUGCCUCAGCUUCUUUCUCCAUUCCUCUCUGGGUGUGGACACGCGGGGCGCUUGGCUCUGGAGAACAACACUGCAACGAACGGGGAUGUGCAAGUAUCCUUGGGAACGUUGCUUCCAAUUCUUAUGGAUGUACAAUCAGGAGUGAGAUUGCUCCAUCACGUGAAGCGACAAGUUGAGUGUCAUCGUUGGAAAACAGGCAGCUGAUGGUCCGUUGCCAAGGUGACCCUUUUGUCCAGAUGAUUCUUCCAGACUCUCUGGGUAUGACCCAAGCCAUAUAUCUGAAAGCACGUCGUACACGUGGACUCACAGAGUCAGUAUCUUCAAGCUCCAUGAGGAAAGGAAGAGAGGACAAAAUGUGGUUUGGAUCCCUUUCAUUCUACUCAGCCUGUAAGUACAGACAUGGAGUCAUUUCCAUUGAACACAGAACACAGGGAAGAAGAAAGGAUGCAGGUGGUGAAUAGGGACCCGGCCAGUGACGCUCUGAAUCUUCAGCUGCAACAUCCGGGCCAUGCUGGCCAUCAGCAGGCUGCCAGCAAGCAGCACUGCGGGCUGUGGGACCUGGAGGUGCGGCUCCAGGUGGGACCUCGCUCCAGUCUGUGUUCUGUCAGCUGUCCCACCGCCCACCCACAUCCACCCCCACCGAGGCUGAGGACCUCCAGGCCCCGGUGGACACCGUGAGGAUCGUGUCCUGCUGGAUGGACUGCCCCCACCUCUCCUCUCUGGCCUCUCGCACAAGCUGGGACCAAGCCGAACCCGUCCCUGCGCCCCCCUCAGCGCCUUAACUGCACACAUAAUUCCAGCAUUCACUUCCGGUCUUCACACAGGCUCAGCCUGCACACGUCUCCUUCUAUUAAAGGUCUUUCCCGCCACGUGGGUGCUGCCGCAAGAAUCAUGAGAGUCACUAUUGAAUCUUUGGUCCCCCCCUGCCCCACGUGGAAUCUGUCACCCAAAGCUCUCCAGGUCCCCCACCUGCCCCGACAUUUCUCCUGUUUCUCUACCACUUUCUCCUCCACCGCGACCACGAGUCCAAGUUGUCAUUUCCUACGUGAACCUGGCGGGUCUAACCAGCCUUGCAGGGCGUGAGGUUCCUACUGUUGCUGUGACAAACUACCACAACCGCAGUGGCUUCACACAACACAAUUUGUUAAUCCUAGAGUUUUGUAGCUCAGAAGCCUGACACAGAGCCACAGGGAUCGCCCAAGACAAUCUCCCCAUUUAAAGGCCGGCCUAGUAACAACCUUAAUUCCCCGUUGCCUUGUCCAGUCACGUAUUCACAGGCUCUGGGGAGCAGGGUGUGGACAUCCUGGGGGGUCACUCUUCUGCCUAUGACAGCUUCCACUGUCUCCUCUCUCUGGGGCCUUCUCUGGGCGGCAAGCAGAGCGAUGCCACCAGAAUAACGUCAUGUAAAUAGAUCAUGUCGUUUCUGGAAAACAGAUCCGUCAAACAACGAAUAAAUAGUCCCUUUAGACACGUCCGACUGCACUUCGAAAAAGACACAGGGUCCCUCAUGUGGCCCCCCAAAGCCCUGCAUGAUGGGCCCCCGGGCUUCAGGGACACUGGCUGCUCCAGGUUUGAGGGGAGGUGGGUGUGAGUAGGGAGGCUGGGUCCCCCUGUCCUUUCGUUCCUGGGGGUAGAUCCCCUUUCUUGCAAUUGUGUGGUGGGGUCAUGAAGACUCAAACCUUCCCUGUAGCUCUUUUUUUUUUUUUUAAGAUUUAUUUAUUUAUUUAUUUAUUUGAGAGAGUGAGAUUGAGAGAAAGAGAGAGUACAUGGGGGGGGAGGGUCAGAAGGAGAAGCAGGCUCCCCGCUGAGCAGGGAGCCCGACGAGGGACUCGAUCCCGGGACUCCAGGAUCAUGACCUGAGCCGAAGGCAGUCGCUUAACCAACUGAGCCACCCAGGUGCCCCCUGUGUAGCUCUUUAGACACCGUGCCAGCCCUGCUGGGAUUAUCUGCCCUGCGUGUUCCAACAGCUUUAUGGACUCGGUCCGUAUGUGAGCUGUUGAUCCAGCUGUGCCAAAAGAAUAACAGUCUGUGACACACACUUGUCUGAAGUCCCCAGUGUGGGAGGAUGGAGAAUUGUAGCUUCAACUAUGAUCCUUUUCUGCUAUAUUUUGAGGGGAGCUCAGAGCCACAAGUGAUCUUUUUGUCUCUAGGAUUCUGGGUACCUCUACAUAACUGAUUACAUAAUUACUUGAGAACUUUGGUUUCCUUAUUUUAAUCGUGAUAUAGUCGACCCACAACGUUAUAUUAGUUUCCGGUACAACAGAACUAUUCGAUGUUUGUAUAUAUUGUGAAGUGACCACAGCAAGCCUAGUUAACAUCUGUUCCCACACAUGUUACAAAAUUUAUUUUUCUUGUGAUAAGAACUGUUAAGAUCUACUCUCUUAGCAACUUUCAAAUAUGCAAUACUGGGUUGUUAACUAUUAGUCCCCAUGCUGUGUGUUACAUUCCCCAGGACUUGUUUAUAUUAUAACUGGACGUGUGGACCUUUUGAACACCUUCACCCUUUGUUAGGAGUCCCAUCCCAUUCUGCUUCUGGCAACCACCAGUUUGUUCUCUGUAUCUGUGAACUUGUUUUUUUUUUAUUUUGUUUUUGUGAUCCACAUAUAAGUAAGAUCAUAUGGUAUUUGUCUUUCUCUGACUUAUUUAAUUUAGCAUAUUGUUCUGGAGGUCUAUCCAUGGUGUCACAAGAUUUCCUUCUUAAAAAAAAAAGAUUUUAUUUGUUUAUUUAUUUAGAGAGAGUGCGUGAGCAAGGGGAGGGACACAGGGAGAGCAGAAAGAGAAUCUCCAGCCCAUUCUGAGCCGAGCACAG